AACGAACGCUGGCGGCAGGCUUAACACAUGCAAGUCGAACGAGAUCUUCGGAUCUAGUGGCAGACGGGUGAGGAACACGUGGGAACAUCCCUUUCAGUUCGGAAUAACGUUGGGAAACUAACGCUAAUACCGGAUACGUCCUUCGGGAGAAAGAUUUAUCGCUGAAAGAUUGGCCCGCGUCUGAUUAGCUCGUUGGUGAGGUAACGGCUCACCAAGGCUACGAUCAGUAGUUGAUCUGAGAGGAUGAUCAGCCACAUUGGGACUGAGACACGGCCCAAACUCCUACGGGAGGCAGCAGUGGGGAAUAUUGGACAAUGGGCGCAAGCCUGAUCCAGCCAUGCCGCGUGAGUGAUGACGGCCUUCGGGUUGUAAAGCUCUUUUGUCCGGGAAGAUAAUGACUGUACCGGAAGAAAAGCCCCGGCAAACUUCGUGCCAGCCGCCGCGGUAA
rnacentral:rRNA from 1 species